rnacentral:rRNA from 1 species
UCCAGACUCCUACGGGAGGCAGCAGUGGGGAAUAUUGCACAAUGGGCGAAAGACUGAUGCAGCAACGCCGCGUGAAGGAAGACGGUUUUCGGAUUGUAAACUUCUGUUCUUAGUGAAGAAUAAUGACGGUAACUAAGGAGCAAGCCACGGCUAACUAAGUGCCAGCAGCCGCGGUAAUAAGUAGGUGGCAAGCGUUGUACGGAAUUACUGGGUGUAAAGGGAGCGUAGGCGGGAAGCCAAGUCAGCUGUGAAAACUACGGGCUUAACCUGUAGACUGCAGUUGAAUCUGGCUUUCUUGAGUGAAGUAGAGGUUGGCGGAAUUCCGAGUGUAGCGGUGAAAUGCGUAUAUAUUCGGAGGAACACCGGUGGCGAAGGCGGCCAACUGGGCUUUAACUGACUCUGAGGCUCGAACGCGUGGGGAGCACACAGGAUUAGAUACCCUCGUAA